AAAUUUCAGCGGCUUCAGGACAGCCAAGCUCUCCGUCUUCAAGUUCCCUGCGACGCAGAUCCUCAGCUCGUUUCAGCGGCAAGUCGCGUCCUAGACCUGCUAGAGCGCCCUCUGCAGUUCCGUGUUCUUGGGUUCUUCUCCCUCAGUCGCUCUACUGCAGCGUCGAUAGGUGGUCUUAUCAUGUCCUAUUUGGUGGUCGUCCUGCAGUUCCGCUGAAGGUGUGACGUCAGAGGUCAAGGCAGGUCAACAGCGUCUCGGAUUUGGUUUUGGAAUCACG